GGGCCGGUGGCGCAAUGGCAGCGCGCCUCGAUGGCAUCGAGGAGGUUGAGAGUUCGAAUCUCUUCCGGUCCA
rnacentral:tRNA from 1 species